CUUAGAAAUGCUUGUAUAUGUUUAAGUGCAUACAGUGAGAUGAGAUUUGAGAAACCCAGAUUUACCUCUGUCCAGAGGUAUCUAUAGUUCGAGUCAUGAGCCAGUUACAUCGGUUGCCUCUUAACUACUUUUUUCUACUCUGCUAUAGAAUGCAUUCCAUGAAUUCCAGGCAGUCUCCCCGAGGUGUGCCUGGGGGUCGGCCUUCCUGGCCAUAAUUUCGUAUUUUCUGGUGGUUUCAAUGGCCUUGAUGCAGGAGGCCAGAGUUGGGGGGUAAGAGGAUAGCCGGUUUUUACUAAUGGCCUGUAGGGCUGC